rnacentral:rRNA from 1 species
GAUGAACGCUAGCGGCAGGCCUAAUACAUGCAAGUCGAGGGGCAGCAGGGGUAGCAAUACUCGCUGGCGACCGGCGCACGGGUGCGUAACGCGUAUGUAAUCUGCCCACUACAGGGGGAUAGCCCGGAGAAAUUCGGAUUAAUACCCCAUAAAACAGGGAACCCGCAUGGGUAUAUUGUUAAAGCUCCGGCGGUAGUGGAUGAACAUGCGUCCGAUUAGCUAGUUGGUUGAGGUAACGGGUCACCAAGGCGACGAUCGGUAGGGGGUCUGGGAGGCUGAUCCCCCACAUGGGUAAUGAGGUACGGACCAGGCGCCUACGGGAGGCAGCAGUGGGGAAUAUUGGGCAAUGGUCGCAAGUCUGACCCAGCCAUGCCGCGUGCAGGAAGAAGGCUUUCUGAGUUGUAAACUGCUUUUAAAUGGUAACAAAUGACCCUUGCGAGGGUAGCUGAGUUUAACAUUAGAAUAAGCACCGGCUAACUCCGUGCCAGCCGCCGCAGUAA